rnacentral:rRNA from 1 species
AGAGUUUGAUCAUGGCUCAGAGUGAACGCUGGCGGCGUGCUUAACACAUGCAAGUCGAACGGAUAAAAUAAGCUUGCUUAUUUUGUUAGUGGCGCACGGGUGAGUAAUAUAUAGCUAACCUGCCCUUUAGUGGGGGACAACAGUUGGAAACGACUGCUAAUACCCCAUACUCCUUCUUGUCUUAAGAUAAGUUGGGAAAGAUUUAUCGCUAAAGGAUGGGGCUUUAUUGUAUCAGCUAGUUGGUGGGGUAACGGCCUACCAAGGCAAUGACGCAUACCUGGUCUGAGAGGAUGAUCAGGCACACUGGAACUGAGACACGGUCCAGACUCCUACGGGAGGCAGCAGUGGGGAAUAUUGCACAAUGGAGGAAACUCUGAUGCAGCAACGCCGCGUGGAGGAUGACGCAUUUCGGUGUGUAAACUCCUUUUAUAGGGGAAGAUAAUGACGGUACCCUAUGAAUAAGCACCGGCUAACUUCGUGCCAGCAGCCGCGGUAAUACGAAGGG